AUCUACCACUCGUACAUUCCGGUUCCUCCGGGCCGUCCGCACCCACCUGACGAUUGCUGGCUCCGUUUUUUUGUUAGCC
rnacentral:sRNA from 2 species